GGAGGAAAGCAGGGGAUCGCAAGACCUCUCACUAUUGGAGCGGCCGAUGUCUGAUUAGCUAGUUGGCGGGGUAAUAGCCCACCAAGGCGACGAUCAGUAGCUGGUUUGAGAGAACGACCAGCCACACUGGGACUGAGACACGGCCCAGACUCCUACGGGAGGCAGCAGUGGGGAAUUUUGGACAAUGGGGGCAACCCUGAUCCAGCCAUGCCGCGUGCGGGAAGAAGGCCUUCGGGUUGUAAACCGCUUUUGUCAGGGAAGAAAUUGGACUUACUAAUACUAGGUCUAGAUGACGGUACCUGGAGAAUAAGCACCGGCUAACUACGUGCCAGCAGCCGCGGUAAUACGUAGGGUGCAAGCGUUAAUCGGAAUUACUGGGCGUAAAGCGUGCGCAGGCGGUUUUGCAAGUCAGAUGGAGAAGCCCCGGGCUCAACCUGGGAAUUGCGUUUGAAUUAAGGUGGCUAGAAGGGC
rnacentral:rRNA from 1 species